rnacentral:rRNA from 1 species
GAUGAACGCUGGCGGCGUGCCUAAUACAUGCAAGUCGAGCGAACAGACGAGGAGCUUGCUCCUCUGACGUUAGCGGCGGACGGGUGAGUAACACGUGGAUAACCUACCUAUAAGACUGGGAUAACUUCGGGAAACCGGAGCUAAUACCGGAUAAUAUAUUGAACCGCAUGGUUCAAUAGUGAAAGACGGUUUUGCUGUCACUUAUAGAUGGAUCCGCGCCGCAUUAGCUAGUUGGUAAGGUAACGGCUUACCAAGGCAACGAUGCGUAGCUGACCUGAGAGGGUGAUCGGCCACACUGGAACUGAGACACGGUCCAGACUCCUACGGGAGGCAGCAGUAGGGAAUCUUCCGCAAUGGGCGAAAGCCUGACGGAGCAACGCCGCGUGAGUGAUGAAGGUCUUCGGAUCGUAAAACUCUGUUAUUAGGGAAGAACAAAUGUGUAAGUAACUAUGCACGUCUUGACGGUACCUAAUCAGAAAGCCACGGCUAACUACGU